rnacentral:rRNA from 1 species
UACGUAGGGUGCGAGCGUUGUCCGGAAUUAUUGGGCGUAAAGAGCUCGUAGGCGGCUUGUUGCGUCGGAUGUGAAAGCCCGGGGCUUAACUCCGGGUCUGCAUUCGAUACGGGCAGGCUAGAGUUCGGUAGGGGAGAUCGGAAUUCCUGGUGUAGCGGUGAAAUGCGCAGAUAUCAGGAGGAACACCGGUGGCGAAGGCGGAUCUCUGGGCCGAUACUGACGCUGAGGCGCGAAAGCGUGGGGAGCGAACAGG